GACGAACGCUGGCGGCGUGCUUAACACAUGCAAGUCGAACGGAAAGGCCCUGCUUUUGUGGGGUGCUCGAGUGGCGAACGGGUGAGUAACACGUGAGUAACCUGCCCUUGACUUUGGGAUAACUUCAGGAAACUGGGGCUAAUACCGGAUAGGAGCUCCUGCUGCAUGGUGGGGGUUGGAACGUUUCGGCGGUUGGGGAUGGACUCGCGGCUUAUCAGCUUGUUGGUGGGGUAGUGGCUUACCAAGGCUUUGACGGGUAGCCGGCCUGAGAGGGGGACCGGCAACAUUGGGACUGAGAUACGGCCCAGACUCCUACGGGAGGCAGCAGUGGGGAAUAGUGCACAAUGGGCGGAAGCCUGAUGCAGCAACGCCGCGUGCGGGAUGACGGCCUUCGGGUUGUAAACCGCUUUCGCCUGUGACGAAGCGUGAGUGACGGUAAUGGGUAAAGAAGCACCGGCUAACUACGUG
rnacentral:rRNA from 1 species